rnacentral:rRNA from 1 species
UACGUAGGGUGCGAGCGUUGUCCGGAAUUAUUGGGCGUAAAGAGCUCGUAGGCGGUGUGUCACGUCGGCCGUGAAAACCUGGGGCUUAACUCUGGGCGUGCGGUCGAUACUGGCAUCACUAGAGUUCGGCAGGGGAGACUGGAAUUCCUGGUGUAGCGGUGAAAUGCGCAGAUAUCAGGAGGAACACCGGUGGCGAAGGCGGGUCUCUGGGCCGAUACUGACGCUGAGGAGCGAAAGCAUGGGUAGCGAACAGG